UAUUAUUAAGACAUCGUUCUCUGUAUUUAGGUACUCUGUCUGUCUCAAGGCUGUAUCCCAAGAUCCGCUCUAGCUAGACUUUUGAAAUUUUCGCAGAUUGUGUAUUUCUGU